AGGGCAUACGGUGGAUGCCUAGCCAGCUGGAAGCGAAGAAGGACGUGGUAAGCUGCGAAAAGCUGUGGGGAGCUGCAAACGAGCGAAGAUCCACAGAUAUCCGAAUGGGGAAACCUGCCGAAAGGCAUCCUGGAGACAGGAGGCGAAGCUGGGGAAGUGAAACAUCAUAGUACCCGGUGAAAAGAAAUCAAACGAGAUUCCCGGAGUAGCGGCGAGCGAAAGGGGAAGAGCCCAAACAGUAGCGAUGUAAAAGCGGGCAGGCGUUGUUGCUACUGGGUUGAGGGUAACAGCUACCCGAACUGCCAGAUAGGGGGUUGGAUAUAUAUAAGAAGUGGAAAGGCAUGGGAAGGCCUACCGGAGAAGGUGAAAGUCCUGUACACGUAAAUAUAUAUAUUCGACUGCUGUUAACCCGAGUAGCGUAGGACACGAGGAAUCCUGCGUGAAGCUGGGUGGACCUCCAUCCAAGGCUAAAGAGGACAGCUGAGCGAUAGUGGAGAAGUACCGUGAGGGAAAGGUGAAAAGGACCCCGGGAGGGGAGUGAAAGAGAACCUGAAACCGUAUGCCUACAGGAAGCGGGAGCGAAAGUGACCGCGUGCCUUUUGAUUAAUGAGCCUGCGAGUUAUUUUCGGUGGCGAGGUUAAGCCGGUAGGUGGAGCCGAAGGGAAACCGAGUAUGAAGAGUGCGACAGUCACCGGAAAUAGACCCGAAGCCAGGUGAGCUACCCAUGUGCAGGAUGAAGCUUGGGUAAAACCAAGUGGAGGUCCGAACUGGUGGAUAGUGAAAAAUCCUCAGAUGACAUGUGGGUAGGAGUGAAAAGCUAACCGAACCUGGGGAUAGCUGGUUCUCCCCGAAACGUGUGUAGGCACGGCCUCUGGAAAAGAGUUAUGGAGGUAGAGCACUGAAUGGUGUAGGGGGGUAGACCUCUGAAACCAAUCAAACUCCGAAUGCCAUAACUGGAUGCCAGGGAGAAAGACUAUGGGGAAUAAGCUUCAUGGUCGAGAGGGAAAGAGCCCAGACCGACAGCUAAGGUUCCGAAGAAGCGGCUAAGUGUGAAAGGAAGUGGACCUCUUAAGACAGCCGGGAGGUUGGCUUAGAAGCAGCCAUCCUUAAAAGAGUGCGUAACAGCUCACCGGUAGAAGAGGACUGCGCCGAAAAUGUAACGGAGCUAAAGCCGCGCACCGAAGCUACGGUAUAGCCGAAAGGCUAUAGGUAGGGGAGCGAUGUGCGAGGGAGAAGCAUAACUGAAAGGUUAUGUGGACGAAGCACAAGAGAGAAUGCAGGCAUGAGUAACGAAAUGGGAGUGAGAAUCUCCCACCCCUAAAGUCUAAGGGUACCUGGGGAAGGGUCGUCCGCCCAGGGUAAGUCGGGACCUAAGGUAAACCCGAAAGGGGUAGCCGAUGGAAAACGGGUAAAGAAUCCCGUACCGGUAAAAGAGGAGCUACAAGGGGGGACACAGGAGGUAAAGCUACCGAGACAGGGUUGCAAAUCUUCCAAGCGACGAUGCCGAAGAAGCUGGUAGGAAAACCCGCCGGUGGAGGAGGAGUCGUGAUGGGGAGGCCGCAAGGCCAACGGUAGAUAAUCACACUGUCGAGAAAAGCCUCGUGUAGCUAAGAUCCUUUUACUGCCCGUUCUGGAAACCGACACAGGUAGACGAGCUGAGAAGGCAAAGGGGAGCGGAAUAACCUUCGUUAAGGAACUAGGCAAAAUGGCCCCGUAACUUCGGGAGAAGGGGUGGACUAUUAGUGUGAGCAAUCAUGCUAAUAGAGCCGCAGUGACAAGUCCCUAGCGACUGUUUACCAAAAACACAGGUCUCUGCGAACACGGAAGUGGAAGUAUAGGGACUGACGCCUGCCCAGUGCCGGAAGGUUAAGGGGAGGGGUGCGAGCCUCGAACUGAAGCCCCGGUAAACGGCGGCCGUAACUAUAACGGUCCUAAGGUAGCGAAAUUCCUUGUCGGGUAAGUUCCGACCUGCAUGAAUGGCGUAACGACUAGGGAGCUGUCUUAACGGAGGAUCCGGUGAAAUUACAAGCUCGGUGAAGACGCCGAGGACCCGCAGCUAGACGGAAAGACCCCGUGGAGUUUUACUGUAACCUGACAUUGUAACUUAUCGUUGUAUGUACAGGAUAGGCGGGAGGCGGAGAAAGCUGCUCGCCAGGGCAGCUGGAGCCGACAGUGGGAUACCGCUCUUACAACGAUGGGUUACUAACGGGAGAAAGUGAAGAGCUUGACCUGGACAGUGUUAGGAGGGCAGUUUAACUGGGGCGGUUGCCUCCCAAAAGGUAACGGAGGUGUUCGAAGGUAGGCUCAAGUGGGUUGGGAAUCCACUGAAGAGUGCAAAGGCAAAAGCCUGCUUAACUGAGAGACUGACGAGUCGAACAGGAGGGAAACCUGGACUUAGUGACCCGGCGGUUCUGAGAGGAAGGGCCGUCGAUCAACGGAUAAAAGUUACCCCGGGGAUAACAGACUAAUCACGCCCGAGAGUUCACAUCGACGGCGUGGAUUGGCACCUCGAUGUCGGCUCAUCGCAACCUGGGGCUGAAGCCGGUCCCAAGGGUUGGGCUGUUCGCCCAUUAAAGCGGUACGUGAGCUGGGUUCAGAACGUCGUAAGACAGUUCGGUCCCUAUCUGCUGCGGGGGUAGGAAGCUUGAAGGGGGUUGCUCCUAGUACGAGAGGACCGGAGUGAGUAUGUCCCUGGUGAAUCAGCUGUUAUGCAAAUAGCAGAAGCUGAGUAGCUACACAUAUAACCGAUAACCGCUGAAAGCAUCUAAGCGGGAAACGGGCCCAAACAAUAGGCUUCCCACUCUU
rnacentral:rRNA from 2 species